rnacentral:rRNA from 1 species
UACGUAGGGUGCAAGCGUUGUCCGGAAUUAUUGGGCGUAAAGAGCUCGUAGGCGGUUUGUCGCGUCUGCCGUGAAAGUCCGGGGCUCAACUCCGGAUCUGCGGUGGGUACGGGCAGACUAGAGUGAUGUAGGGGAGACUGGAAUUCCUGGUGUAGCGGUGAAAUGCGCAGAUAUCAGGAGGAACACCGAUGGCGAAGGCAGGUCUCUGGGCAUUAACUGACACUGAGGCACGAAAGCGUGGGUAGCAAACAGG